rnacentral:rRNA from 1 species
GACGAACGCUGGCGGCGUGCUUAACACAUGCAAGUCGAACGGAUAGGCCCUGCUUUUUUGUGGUUCUCGCGUGGCGAUCGUGUGUGUUACACGUGUGUAUCCUUCCCUUUACUUUGUUAUAUCUUCAUGCAACUUGUUCUAAUACCUGAUAUCUUCUCCUGCUUCUUUGUGUUCGUUGGAAAUUUUCGGCGGUUGGGUUUGGACUCGCGGCUUAUCAGCUUGUUGGUUGGGUAGUUGCUUACCAAGGCUUUGACGGGUAGCCGGCAUGAGAGGGUGAACGGCCACAAUGGGACUGAGAUAAGGAGCAGACUGCAACGGGAGGCAGCAGGGGGGAAUAUUGCACAAUGGGCGGAAGCCUGAUGCAGCAACGCCGCGAGCGGGAUGAAGGCCUUCGGGUUGUAAACCGCAGUAGCCUGUGACGAAGCGUGAGUGACGGUAAUGGGUAAAGAAGCACCGGCUAACUACGUG